GUGUUUCGAAUUUUCGACAACAUGAAACUACCAGACAGACAGAUAGAUUAGCAGGAGAAAUCAGAAUGGAUGACAACAACUUGUAAUCACGCUCUAUAUGCUAUCAUCGAUUUAGUGAUUGGUU